GUCCACGCUGUAAACGAUGAGAACUAGAUGCUGGCGGGGAACCCAUCAGUAUCGAAGCUAACGCGAUAAGUUCUCCGCCUGGGAAGUACGGCCGCAAGGUUGAAACUCAAAUGAAUUGACGGGGGCCCGCACAAGCGGUGGAGCAUGUGGUUUAAUUCGAUGCAACGCGAAGAACCUUACCUACCCUUGACAUCUUGGGAAUCUGGCUUAGUAGCCGGAGUGCCGAAAGGAACCCAAAGACAGGUGCUGCAUGGCUGUCGU
rnacentral:rRNA from 1 species